rnacentral:lncRNA from 1 species
CAACCAUGCAAUUAUAUUAUCUAUGGAAAAUUGGGAAAAAAGCAAACAUCAUCAAUAUCAUGAUAGCCAUCAAGUAGAAUAUUUUGAAAUCAAUACAAAUAUACCCCUCAUUAAAAUGCUUCAUACACCCUACUUUUCCAGCAUUACCAUUCUUGAUGAGGAUUCAUGUGCUUCUCACCUCUUCUAAAUCUCAAGAAAUGUGAAAAUUUUAAAACAAAAACAUAAAAAAAAUACAAAGAUUUAAAAGGGUAUCAGAGUUUUCUUUCAUGGGUUAAUUAGAAAGGAAAAAAAAUGACAAAUUUAUAUAAAGAUUUAUAUUUAUAACUAUAAUGCCUGGCUAAUCCUGUCUGCCUUUUUCCACUCAAUAUUAAGGAGAUGGGGGUUUCCACAGAGAGACCACCUACAUUAUAUGGCUCAUUUGUGAAUUUCCCAAAACAGCCUUCGCUAUACAAAGGAAGGGUCAGAUGGUAAUGGUAGUGGUACCUCUUCGGGAGCAAGGGCGGUUUCGUCAUUGCACCAGAUUUCCUCAAGAACAUCCAUUCCAGAUUUUUUGGUUUCUGCUGCUGUCUGCUGCUUCUGUAGUCUGGUUUGUUAGAGAGAGGGAGAGAGAAAGUUUUGGAGAGAGAAAAUGUGGAUUUAAGAAGAAAGAGGAGAGAGAAAAUGGAAUAUAAAAUACUAAAAUAGUAAUGGGGGAUAGGGCCCUGUUUGGAUUUUGGAAUAUUGGGUUGGGACUAGGGAUGGCCGGUGAAAGGCCAUUUUCAACUUUCUGCUUCGUU